ACUCUAAGCGGUGGAUCACUCGGCUCAUGGGUCGAUGAAGAACGCAGCAAACUGUGCGUCAUCGUGUGAACUGCAGGACACAUGAACAUCGACAUUUUGAACGCAUAUCGCAGUCCAUGCUGUUAUGUACUUUAAUUAAUUUUAUAGUGCUGCUUGGACUACAUAUGGUUGAGGGUUGUAAGACUAUGCUAAUUAAGUUGCUUAUAAAUUUUUAUAAGCAUAUGGUAUAUUAUUGGAUAAAUAUAAUAAUUUUUAUUCAUAAUAUUAAAAAAUAAAUGAAAAACAUUAUCUCACAUUUGAAUGUGAAAAACGAAGAGAAAUAUUUUCUUUUUCAAUCAAAUAAUACUGAGAAAUGUCUAGCAUAAAAAAUUGAAAUAUUUUUCAUCUAGAAUUGUCUCUUAUUAAUGAUUCGGAAAUAGAAAAAUCUUGGUUAUGUUAUUAUUCUUCGUUGGUUCGUUAAAAAUGGAUAAAUAAAAACUUUGCAUACAAGAAUUAAUAAAAAUGUUAUAACGAAUUUAAUUAAAUGUUUUAUCAUUAUAUAUAAAGAAUUUAUGGCAAGAUAAAGUUAUAUACAACCUCAACUCAUAUGGGACUACCCCCUGAAUUUAAGCAUAUUAAUUAGGGGAGGAAAAGAAACUAACAAGGAUUUUCUUAGUAGCGGCGAGCGAAAAGAAAACAGUUCAGCACUAAGUCACUUUGUCUAUAUGGCAAAUGUGAGAUGCAGUGUAUGGAGCGUCAAUAUUCUAGUAUGAGAAAUUAACGAUUUAAGUCCUUCUUAAAUGAGGCCAUUUACCCAUAGAGGGUGCCAGGCCCGUAUAACGUUAAUGAUUACUAGAUGAUGUUUCCAAAGAGUCGUGUUGCUUGAUAGUGCAGCACUAAGUGGGUGGUAAACUCCAUCUAAAACUAAAUAUAACCAUGAGACCGAUAGUAAACAAGUACCGUGAGGGAAAGUUGAAAAGAACUCUGAAUAGAGAGUUAAACAGUACGUGAAACUGCUUAGAGGUUAAGCCCGAUGAACCUGAAUAUCCGUUAUGGAAAAUUCAUCAUUAAAAUUGUAAUAUUUAAAUAAUAUUAUGAGAAUAGUGUGCAUUUUUUCCAUAUAAGGACAUUGUAAUCUAUUAGCAUAUACCAAAUUUAUCAUAAAAUAUAACUUAUAGUUUAUUCCAAUUAAAUUGCUUGCAUUUUAACACAGAAUAAAUGUUAUUAAUUUGAUAAAGUGCUGAUAGAUUUAUAUGAUUACAGUGCGUUAAUUUUUCGGAAUUAUAUAAUGGCAUAAUUAUCAUUGAUUUUUGUGUUUAUUAUAUGCACUUGUAUGAUUAACAAUGCGAAAGAUUCAGGAUACCUUCGGGACCCGUCUUGAAACACGGACCAAGGAGUCUAACAUAUGUGCAAGUUAUUGGGAUAUAAACCUAAUAGCGUAAUUAACUUGACUAAUAAUGGGAUUAGUUUUUUAGCUAUUUAUAGCUAAUUAACACAAUCCCGGGGCGUUCUAUAUAGUUAUGUAUAAUGUAUAUUUAUAUUAUUUAUGCCUCUAACUGGAACGUACCUUGAGCAUAUAUGCUGUGACCCGAAAGAUGGUGAACUAUACUUGAUCAGGUUGAAGUCAGGGGAAACCCUGAUGGAAGACCGAAACAGUUCUGACGUGCAAAUCGAUUGUCAGAAUUGAGUAUAGGGGCGAAAGACCAAUCGAACCAUCUAGUAGCUGGUUCCUUCCGAAGUUUCCCUCAGGAUAGCUGGUGCAUUUUAAUAUUAUAUAAAAUAAUCUUAUCUGGUAAAGCGAAUGAUUAGAGGCCUUAGGGUCGAAACGAUCUUAACCUAUUCUCAAACUUUAAAUGGGUAAGAACCUUAACUUUCUUGAUAUGAAGUUCAAGGUUAUGAUAUAAUGUGCCCAGUGGGCCACUUUUGGUAAGCAGAACUGGCGCUGUGGGAUGAACCAAACGUAAUGUUACGGUGCCCAAAUUAACAACUCAUGCAGAUACCAUGAAAGGCGUUGGUUGCUUAAAACAGCAGGACGGUGAUCAUGGAAGUCGAAAUCCGCUAAGGAGUGUGUAACAACUCACCUGCCGAAGCAACUAGCCCUUAAAAUGGAUGGCGCUUAAGUUGUAUACCUAUACAUUACCGCUAAAGUAGAUGAUUUAUAUUACUUGUGAUAUAAAUUUUGAAACUUUAGUGAGUAGGAAGGUACAAUGGUAUGCGUAGAAGUGUUUGGCGUAAGCCUGCAUGGAGCUGCCAUUGGUACAGAUCUUGGUGGUAGUAGCAAAUAAUCGAAUGAGACCUUGGAGGACUGAAGUGGAGAAGGGUUUCGUGUGAACAGUGGUUGAUCACGAGUUAGUCGGUCCUAAGUUCAAGGCGAAAGCCGAAAAUUUUCAAGUAAAACAAAAAUGCCUAACUAUAUAAACAAAGCGAAUUAUAAUACACUUGAAUAAUUUUGAACGAAAGGGAAUACGGUUCCAAUUCCGUAACCUGUUGAGUAUCCGUUUGUUAUUAAAUAUGGGCCUCGUGCUCAUCCUGGCAACAGGAACGACCAUAAAGAAGCCGUCGAGAGAUAUCGGAAGAGUUUUCUUUUCUGUUUUAUAGCCGUACUACCAUGGAAGUCUUUCGCAGAGAGAUAUGGUAGAUGGGCUAGAAGAGCAUGACAUAUACUGUUGUGUCGAUAUUUUCUCCUCGGACCUUGAAAAUUUAUGGUGGGGACACGCAAACUUCUCAACAGGCCGUACCAAUAUCCGCAGCUGGUCUCCAAGGUGAAGAGUCUCUAGUCGAUAGAAUAAUGUAGGUAAGGGAAGUCGGCAAAUUAGAUCCGUAACUUCGGGAUAAGGAUUGGCUCUGAAGAUUGAGAUAGUCGGGCUUGAUUGGGAAACAAUAACAUGGUUUAUGUGCUCGUUCUGGGUAAAUAGAGUUUCUAGCAUUUAUGUUAGUUACUUGUUCCCCGGAUAGUUUAGUUACGUAGCCAAUUGUGGAACUUUCUUGCUAAAAUUUUUAAGAAUACUAUUUGGGUUAAACCAAUUAGUUCUUAUUAAUUAUAACGAUUAUCAAUUAACAAUCAAUUCAGAACUGGCACGGACUUGGGGAAUCCGACUGUCUAAUUAAAACAAAGCAUUGUGAUGGCCCUAGCGGGUGUUGACACAAUGUGAUUUCUGCCCAGUGCUCUGAAUGUCAAAGUGAAGAAAUUCAAGUAAGCGCGGGUCAACGGCGGGAGUAACUAUGACUCUCUUAAGGUAGCCAAAUGCCUCGUCAUCUAAUUAGUGACGCGCAUGAAUGGAUUAACGAGAUUCCUACUGUCCCUAUCUACUAUCUAGCGAAACCACAGCCAAGGGAACGGGCUUGGAAUAAUUAGCGGGGAAAGAAGACCCUUUUGAGCUUGACUCUAAUCUGGCAGUG
rnacentral:rRNA from 1 species